rnacentral:lncRNA from 1 species
AAAAUCACAGAAAAUACUGUUUAUUACAAUUACUCUUGAUUCUUUGGUAUACUUUUUCCAAUAUGGAGCAUUAUCUGUUUGCAGCUACAGACAUUGUAAUGCUAGGCAGAUUUCUAAAACUGAAGAUUGGAUCUAGUAAGAGACUGAAAUAUAAAACUCAUUAAAUGCAUAAAUUGGCAUUCUUACUGCAUAAUUUUCUUCUCUGCACAUAGGAAGUAUUUCUUGUUUUACUUGCUGAAUACAAUUUAAUAUCCUUAAUAAAUUUCUAACAUAUCUAGAGCACUUUAUAAAUUGGGGUACUAUAAAUAUCUGUGGCUGUGGGGCUAGUUGUAGUAGAAAUCACCAACAGUGGCAAAGAAAUCUUUCCUGGCAUGAUGACUCACUCAGCUGCCAUUUUGGGCUCUUCCUCACCUCACCUCAGCCAGGAGGUGGGACAGUGUCACUUUGUGGUCAGCUGGCACCACAGUGAGAGCUGUUUGCCACUGAGCUCCCAGGACAGACUUGACUGGGGUGUUAAGCCAGAGAAACCAGCACCAACAUUUUGUGUCACCACAAUUUUCAAAGUAAACCCCAAAAUGCCUGGGUGAUGAAGCUUCCAGGCAAUCUUUCCACAUGGCCUUCAGCCUAGACAGACCAGCCUGGGCUGCAAGCCUCACUGCUCCGGGGUAGCUUCUCUGAAGCAAAUGCAGCUGCACUGAGGAAAAAUGAAGCAGCAAUUGGGAAUUCAUUGCAAGAGGAGAAACUGGAAGGCCUUUUUUGAAGAGGUGUGUAAAACACACCAUUAAUCUUUUCUAUUUUACAUGUGCUGGAGCUCUUGCCACAGAUUCUUCUGGGAACACAGGCAGUGUUGGGUAGCUGGGUAGCUGGAGCCCAGACAUGUCCUCCUGGCUCAUAUGUUGAUCUGGCAGUUGUGCCAAAGGUUGAGGCCAUUUUUGGCCCUUAAGAAAUAGUUAUGAAAUACUAAAUCUGAUCAUACUAAAGCUCAAGUUUAUUGCUUUGUCCCUACUGUAAACUAAACAAACUUUUCAAGGGGGAAAAAGUUAAACCAGCAAAGUCAAUACACUCCUUUAUACGUACCAGACAUGCAUUCACUGCAGCAUUUGUUUCUUGGGUAUGUAUUUAUACUAGUAACUAUAUAUUUUCCACAUAAGUCAUGUUACACAGGUUACAAGAAAGGAUUAGUACACAUACUUCAUGAGUACUGGACGGGACACUGCUGUUGAUUAAUUUUGUAUGUGAAUGUAAAUUGUGAAGAAAA